UUAUUGAUAUUGCUAAUAGAU
rnacentral:miRNA from 1 species